rnacentral:rRNA from 1 species
GAUGAACGCUGGCGGCGUGCCUAAUACAUGCAAGUCGAACGAACAGACGAGGAGCUUGCUCCUCUGACGUUAGCGGCGGACGGGUUAGUAACACGUGGAUAACCUACCUAUAAGACUGGGAUAACUUCGGGAAACCGGAUCUAAUACCGCAUAAUAUAUUGCACCACAUGGUUCCAUAGUAAAAUACGGUUUUGCUGUCACUUAUAGAUUGAUACGCACCGCAUUAGAUAGUUGGUAAGGUAACGGCAUACCCAGGCAACGAGGGGUAGCCGACAUGAGAGGGAGAACGGCCAGCCGGGAAGUGAGACACGGUCCAGACUCCUACGGGGGGCAGCAGUAGGGAAUCUUACGGAAUGGGCGAGAGCCGGAUAGAGCAAAGCCGCGUGAGUGAUGAAGGAGUUAGGAUGGGAAAACUAUGUUAUUAGGGAGGAAGAAAUGUGUAAGUAACUAUGAAGGUCUUGACGGUACCUGAUCAGAAAGCCCCGGCUAACUACGUG